rnacentral:rRNA from 1 species
UAUUGGGCGUAAAGCGGGUGUAGGUGGCUUUGUAAGUCAGAAGUGAAAGCCCUGGGCUCAACCCAGGAACGGCAUUGGAUACUGGCUUACUAGAGUGCGGUAGAGGGUAGUGGAAUUCCCGGUGUAGCAGUGAAAUGCGUAGAUAUCGGGAGGAACAUCUGUGGCGAAGGCGACUACCUGGACCAGCACUGACACUGAGGCACGAAAGCGUGGGGAGCA